GGGUCAGUAGGUUGGUCGUGCCACCGGUACGUACUGGUCUCACUGAUUCCUCCUUCCUGAAGAACCGUAAUGCCAUUAAUUUGGUGUUGCGGGGAAACAGGACUGUUACUUUGAAAAAAUUAGAGUGUUUAAGGCAAGCUAACGCUUGAAUACAUUAGCAUGGAAUAAUGAAAUAGGACGAUCGAUCCUAUUUUGUCGGUUUCUAGGAUUGACGUA
rnacentral:rRNA from 1 species